AUGCUAUUGGAGUCCGAUUUAGCAUGCUAGUUGCACGAGUUCAGACUCGUAGCAGAUAGCUCAGUAACACGUGGCCAAACUACCCUAUGGAUCCGAAUAACCUCGGGAAACUGAGGCUAAUUCGGAAUACGGCUCACCACCUGGAGUGGUGUGAGCCCGAAACGCUCCGGCGCCAUAGGAUGUGGCUGCGGCCGAUUAGGUAGACGGUGGGGUAACGGCCCACCGUGCCCAUAAUCGGUACGGGUUGUGAGAGCAAGAGCCCGGAGACGGUAUCUGAGACAAGAUACCGGGCCCUACGGGGCGCAGCAGGCGCGAAACCUUUACACUGCACGAAAGUGCGAUAAGGGGACUCCAAGUGCGAGGGCAUAUAGUCCUCGCUUUUUGCGACCGUAAGGUGGUCGCGGAAUAAGUGCUGGGCAAGACCGGUGCCAGCCGCCGCGGUAAUACCGGCAGCACGAGUGAUGACCGCUAUUAUUGGGCCUAAAGCGUCCGUAGCUGGCCAUGCAAGUCCAUCGGGAAAUCCGCGCGCUUAACGCGCGGGCGUCCGGUGGAAACUGCAUGGCUUGGGACCGGAAGACCAGAGGGGUACGUCCGGGGUAGGAGUGAAAUCCCGUAAUCCUGGACGGACCACCGGUGGCGAAAGCGCCUCUGGAAGACGGAUCCGACGGUGAGGGACGAAAGCUCGGGUCACGAACCGGAUUAGAUACCCGGGUAGUCCGAGCUGUAAACGAUGUCUGCUAGGUGUGGCACAGGCUACGAGCCUGUGCUGUGCCGCAGGGAAGCCGUGAAGCAGACCGCCUGGGAAGUACGUCCGCAAGGAUGAAACUAAA
rnacentral:rRNA from 1 species